rnacentral:lncRNA from 1 species
GGUUUCACCGUGUUAGCCAGGAUGGUGUCGAUCUCCUGACCUCCUGAUCCGCCUGCCCAAAGUGCUGGGAUUACAGGUGUGAGCCACCGCCCCUGGCCUUUUUUUUUUUUUUUUUUUUUUUUUGAGACAGAGUCUUGCUCAGUCGCGCAGGUUGAAGUGCAAUGGCGAGAUCUCGGCUCACUGCAACCUCCGCCCCCCAAGUUCAAACGGUUCCCCUUUUGAAGAGAGCAAUUCAGAGGGCCAUUAACUAUAUAAGCACAAGAAAAGUCCAAAGAUCCUGGAGCUACCUAGGGAACAGAGCUCCAAAGAAAGCCUCCUGCGUGGAAGCUUCCCUGAGGAAGAGCUGAUAACACCUUAAACCUCCUCUGGAUUCAAGUUAAAGAGGAGCAAAGGUGAUUGGAUUGACUGCAGAGACUAUGACACCUCGCCAUUUCCUCUUGUCCAUAAACAGACACAGAAUUGCAAGAACUUUUACGGCCAAAGGUUAAUCAUAGAAAGGGAUUGGUUUCCAUCUCCAAGAAACAAAUCCGUACCAGAAAUCUGAUGACAUGUUCCUGGAUGGACCAUAAAAACCAUUUUCCUAAAUAACAUCAGCUGACUCUCUGGAUUCUAUCUUUGGGACUAUCCUCAAAUUCAUUAGGGAAAUCAUUAUAUUGAAUCAGUUUAAUUUUACCAGGGUAUCACACCAUUUGCAAAGCUAUGUCAUACAAUCACAUAGUCAGUAUGGAUGAAAAUACUAUUAAUUAGAGAUAAGCAUUUGUCCAAGAACUUGCUGUAAUAGGAUCUUGUGGGGAUUUAUCAAAUCUUGUGAGGAUUUAUCGUAGUCCUUUGCCAAUCAGAAACACAAAAUAGAUUUAGAUGUAAAAAUGGAGUUCUCCAUCUUACAGGAAUAGGUCCUUGUGACUUUUUCUUUCUAAGAAAAAAAAUGAGCUCAUUUCAUUAUUCUCACCCUCCUCUCCUGUUUAAAGAAAUCUGAUCUGGUAGGAAAUAACAAGCAAUGAGCCUUAAAUUUUAGUAUUAUCUUUUUAAGAGUUUCUUAAAAUUGCCUUUUGAAAGUAGUUCAGGCUUAGGCCCAAAAAUAAUUAUACUUAGGUCAUAAAAACAGAAUUUCUAAUAUGCAAAAUUCUUUUAGAAAAUCUUUUAAAACAUAAUAACCAUGUAAACCUUACUCUCCAUUUCUUUAUGAAGAAUGGAAAUUAAACAUGAUAAAAUAAUCUAAUUUUGGCCAGGCACAAUGGUGUUUGCCUGUAAUCCCAGUGCUUUGGGAGGCUAAUGUGGGAGGAUCACUUGAGCCCAGGAGUUCAAGACAGCCUGGGCAACACAGCAAGACCCUGUCUCUACAAAAUAUUUAAAAAUUAGCCUGGCAUGCUGGUGCAUGCCUGUAAUCCCAGCUACUCAGGAGGCUGAGGCAGGAGGACUGCUUGAGCCUAGGAGUUCAAGGUUACAGUGAGCUAUGAUAGUGCCACUGCACUCAUGCCUGGGCAACAGUAUGGCCCUAUCUCUUAAAAAAAAAAAAUCGAAUUUCUUCACAAUCAACUUUUGAAUGACUUCUUAAAUGACAAAAUAGGCUGGGUGCAACGGCUCAUGCCUUAAUCCCAACACUUUGGGAAGCUGAGGCAGGAGAAUUGCUUGAGGAUAGGAGUUUGAGAGCAGCCUGGGCAACAGAGGAAGACCCCAUCUCUACAAAAAAUACAGAAAUUAGCCAGGUUUGGUGGUGCAUGCCUGUAGUCCCAGCUACUUGGGAGGCUGAGGUGGGAGGAUCACUUGAGCCCAGGAGGUCAAGGCUACAGUGAGUCAUGAUCUUGCACUCCAGCCUGGGUGACAGAACGAGACCUUGUAUCAAAAAAAAUUAAAAUAAAAUAAGUGACAAAAUAUAUUUAUCUUAUAGCUUAAUAUAUUUGUGUUUCCUAAUGGAAAAGUUGUAAGAUAAAGUCCCACAGGAAUGAAUUCUAGAACGGCUCUAUAAUUAUAAUUUAUGUAAACUACACACUUGUAUAUUAUAGCUUUACAAAUCAUGUUACACUCUAGUAAAACUAAUCUAAUAAAGUAAUUUCCUCAGUGUGCCCCCAGACAAAGCUCAGAGAAACAUGUGGCUUAGCCAAAGGUAGGUAUGUGGUAGAUCCCAGCCCAGAAUGCAAGUGUCCUAAUCCAGUGCUCUUUUUUGGCCAUCAUGAUGUUCCUACUCUCUGCUAGAUUAGCUCUUGCCAUCUCACCAUGUUCCUGAAGCCCUCCUCUAAGUGUUGAGCCUCUGGACCUCCCUAGUCUGGGUUCUCUGACAUAACCCCUCACAUCCCACCUGGCCUCCCUUAGCCCAUCCUUCCUUGAUCAUUCUUCCUUGCCCUCUGCUAAUAAGGCCACGCUAACAUAUAUCUGACUUGUUUUCUCCAUCAAAAAUCUACAUCCCCUUCCCUUAACCGUAGAACUAGAUAUUCUCUGCCUACCAAGGUUACAGUUAUCUUGCCUAAUAAAUUCAUCUGUCUAUGCCACGCUUGUCCAACCCAUGGCCAGUGAACCACAUGAGGCCCAGGAUGGCUUUGAAUGUGGCCCAACACAAAUUUGUGAACUUUCUCAACACACUAAGAGUUUUUUUGCAAUU